GGGGGCGACUUGGCUUCGACAGGAGCAGGGUGGCUUAGGUGGCAUACCGCUUUGGACAAAGCGUUAAAAGUCCGACCAAAUUUAAACGCAAACAACGUUAAAUUCGCUCCUGCUUACGCUAAAGUAGCCUAAGUUCAGUUGAGCCUUGCUUUUUGAUGAUACUAUCUAGUUAAAACAGCGAGUAAUCCUUUGAUAGCGUAGUUUCAAGUUUGACGAUCUUGAGAUGAAGUUUAGUCUUAGCUGUGCUUAAAAGUUUUGGAAGAUGAGCUUGGUGCAGUGAAGUUUUCAUCUUUACUAAGUAUGUAGAGGCUUAAGUUGUUUUGUUUUUGGACAGGGGUUCGAUCCCCCUCGCCUCCACCA
rnacentral:tmRNA from 2 species